rnacentral:lncRNA from 1 species
CACACACAUUAGCCUGAGCCUCUGCAGGGUCAGGAUCGUCGCUAUCACUGCCUUCUUGUCCACAUCUUGUGCUGCUGGAGGGACAUCGGGGCAAUACGAUGCAUGGAGCUGUCAUCUCCUAGGAUAACAGCGCCUUCUUCUGGAUACCUCCUGAGGGACCUGCCUAACUAUUUUUUCAUAAGUAGGAAUACACUCUAAAAUAAUCAUUAAAAAUACAGCAGUAAAUACCAUAAGCCAGCAAUCUAAUCAUUUAUUAUUAUUAUCAAGUAUUAUGUAUUGUAUGAAAUUGUGCUAGACUUUUACAGGCCUGGCAGUGCAGGAGGUGUGUUGACGUCAGCACUGCCACAAACACGUGGGUAAUGUGUUGUGCUAUGAUGUUAUGUGCUAUGGCUGGAAGAAGUCCUGGUGAGCCUGGAAGAAGAAUUCUGUUGACGGAUGGACCACUUGAAUUGGCUGCCUGUGAUGGACCCAGAAGACCCACUCACAUAUGGAAAUGAUGUUCUUUUUGCACCAGAGCCUCCUUGUUCCUGAAUACAGUCAUGUGUCACUGUAUUUGCGACAUGUGGAAGAAACAAAGGUGCUACCCUCCAAAGGCAUGGCUGAGCUUAGGAAACGGAAGGGUGGGGCAGGUGGAAGCUGUUUGAACCUUCUCCCAAACCCAUUUACUUAACAAUGGUGAUUUCGUCAUUGUGUGAACAUCACAGGGUGUACUUACACAAGCUUAGAUGGCAUAGCACUGUCACUUGGUGAUAGGAAUUAUUCAGCUCCUUUAUAAUCUGAGGGAGCCACUGUGGUGUAUGUAAUCUGUCAUUGACCAAAAUGUUCUGACCAUAGAUCCUCACAACCCAGGCGUCCUCUGGAGAGAUGUCCCAUCUCUGAGGGAUUGUGAAAGGAAACCGGAGAAAGGCAGUCAAGAGACCAAGAAUGAUAGUCUGUGAAGACGUUUUUCAGGGUGAAGGGGAAGUAAAGACUUGGCUGCAGAGGGGAACCCGGGGCCUUCGCAGCCAGGAGGCUGAGGCCUCAGCAAGGCAGAGAGUGCCCACUGGCCUUGUGUCGCCACCAGCUGGGUUCGUGCAUCCACCAGCAGGAGCUUCUCCUGGAAGGGGGGUGGGGAACAUCUUCCACGGAGUUGGGCCAAGGGCACUUUCUCUCUGCCACAGGCUGGAGAGUCAUCUCCUGCUCUCUCAACUGUAAAAACAUGCUGAUGUGGCCAAGGGAAACAAAAUGCCCCUCCCUGCCUGGGAGUUCAAUCCAUGUCCCUUUAACAGCUGGCUGAGAUGGAGAACAGCAUCUCCUUCCAAAUCAAUGACUGUUUUUUUUGGAUCCCCCUUCAGCACCCCAAUCCCAGGACUUGGGGCUUCCCGGUGAAAGCUGCUGAUUUCUGUGACCUCUUGGAUGGAUGCCUUGCGUCCCAAGGGCAAAGAUCACGCUCAGAUCCCUGUCUGGGGCCUCACUUCUUGGCCGCCUGUCUGCCGCUCAUGCUGCUGCCGCCUCCCCAGGGCUUUUUGGAGGAUAAUCUAGAAAGAGGCAGCCUGGUAUGCAUACGGAACGGAAAAAGUAAUGAUUCUGGAACUGGCUGGAUCUAAUUUAAAAUCCUGGCUCUGCAACAUGCUGGCUGGGUGACUGUGGGCAGAGCCUGGCUCCCAUGUGUCAGGCACCCUGUAACUUCUCCAAGAGCCCUGCAGAUUCAGAACAUCAACCCCACUUCCCUGGGUUGGGGGAGGCAGAAGAGCUGCCCGGGCUACGCAGGCCAAGGCAAGACCAAGCUGGAUUUGAGCCCAUGCUGUUCUGACCACAAAGCCACCCUCUGUUGUCCACGUGACACUCCAGUGCCACAGGCUGGGAGUGCCCCAGGAGCACUGGAGUUCCUGUAGGUCCCAUAGCUCUUCCUAUGGGUGGAGGUGAGGGGUGCACAGGAAACUCUUCCUGCCUGGAGAAGGUGCAUGCACACGUGCGUAAGGCAUUCAGCUCUGUGAAUAAAAGCAUUCUGCUGAUUUCUGCUGCCCUGUAUCCAGACGGAAGGAAUGGAUCCAUGUUGCAGCUGGGAGCAUGGGGAAAUCUGGACACGCACUUCACCAAAAUGAGACAACUGUGGCAGGAGACAGGCUAAG